AUUGAACGCUGGCGGCAUGCCUUACACAUGCAAGUCGAACGGCAGCACGGGAGCAAUCCUGGUGGCGAGUGGCGAACGGUGAGUAAUAUAUCGGAACGUGCCCAGUCGUGGGGGAUAACGUAGCGAAAGCUACGCUAAUACCGCAUACGAUCUAUGGAUGAAAGCGGGGAUCGCAAGACCUCGCGCGAUUGGAGCGGCCGAUAUCAGAUUAGGUAGUUGGUGAGGUAAAGGCUCACCAAGCCGACGAUCUGUAGCUGGUCUGAGAGGACGACCAGCCACACUGGGACUGAGACACGGCCCAGACUCCUACGGGAGGCAGCAGUGGGAAUUUUGGACAAUGGGCGCAAGCCUGAUCCAGCAAUGCCGCGUGCAGGAUGAAGGCCUUCGGGUUGUAAACUGCUUUGUACGGAACGAAACGGUGAGCUCUAAUACAGUUUGCUAAUGACGGUACCGUAAGAAUAAGCACCGGCUAACUACGUG
rnacentral:rRNA from 1 species